rnacentral:RNase_P_RNA from 1 species
UGAGUCGGCCAAGACAAUCGCUGCCUGUGAAAACAGGGGGAGGAAAGUCCGGGCUCCACAGGGCAGGGUGCCAGGUAACGCCUGGGGGGCGUGAGCCUACGACCAGUGCAACAGAGAGCAAACCGCCGAUGGCCCGUACGCAAGUUCGGGAUCAGGUAAGGGUGAAAGGGUGCGGUAAGAGCGCACCGCACGGCUGGCAACAGUUCGUGGCACGGUAAACUCCACCCGGAGCAAGAUCAAAUAGGCCCCCUUUGGCGCGGCCCGCGUUGGGGGCGGGUAGAUUGCUUGAGGCUUAAGGUGACUUAAGUCCUAGAGGAAUGAUUGUCACUCUGGCAACAGAGCACAGAACCCGGCUUAACGGCCGGCUCACACU